rnacentral:rRNA from 1 species
AGGACGAACGCUGGCGGCGUGCUUAACACAUGCAAGUCGAGCGAGGCUCCUCCUUCGGGAGGAUGCCCUAGCGGCGAACGGGUGAGUAACACGUGGGCAACCUGCCCCUAGCACUGGGAUAACCCCGGGAAACCGGGGCUAAUACCGGAUACGACUUCGGAAGGCAUCUUCUGAAGUGGAAAAGGUUACUGGCUAGGGAUGGGCCCGCGGCCUAUCAGCUUGUUGGUGGGGUAAUGGCCCACCAAGGCGACGACGGGUAGCCGGCCUGAGAGGGCGACCGGCCACACUGGGACUGAGACACGGCCCAGACUCCUACGGGAGGCAGCAGUGGGAAUAUUGCACAAUGGGCGAAAGCCUGAUGCAGCGACGCCGCGUGAGGGAUGACGGCCUUCGGUUGUAAACCUCUUUCAGCAGGGACGAAGCGAAGUGACGGUACUGCAGAGAGCACGCAACUACGCGCCAGCAGCCGC